rnacentral:rRNA from 1 species
AAGACCUUGCGCUUUUGGAGCGGCCGAUGCCUGAUUAGCUAGUUGGUGGGGUAAUGGCCUACCAAAGCUUCGAUCAGUAGCUGGUCUGAGAGGACGGCCAGCCACACUGGGACUGAGACACGGCCCAGACUCCUACGGGAGGCAGCAGUGGGGAAUUUUGGACAAUGGGCGCAAGCCUGAUCCAGCCAUGCCGCGUGAGAGAAGAAGGCCUUCGGGUUGUAAAGCUCUUUCAGCCGGGAAGAAAAGGUUGCGAUUAAUAAUCGCAAUUUAUGACGGUACCGGAAGAAGAAGCACCGGCUAACUACGUGCCAGCAGCCGCGGUAAUACGUAGGGUGCGAGCGUUAAUCGGAAUUACUGGGCGUAAAGGGUGCGCAGGCGGUUUUGUAAGUCAGAUGUGAAAUCCCCGGGCUUAACCUGGGAACU